rnacentral:rRNA from 1 species
GAUGAACGCUGGCGGCGUGCCUAAUACAUGCAAGUCGAGCGAACAGAUGAGGAGCUUGCUCCUCUGACGUUAGCGGCGGACGGGUGAGUAACACGUGGAUAACCUACCUAUAAGACUGGGAUAACUUCGGGAAACCGGAGCUAAUACCGGAUAAUAUAUUGAACCGCAUGGUUCAAUAGUGAAAGACGGUUUUGCUGUCACUUAUAGAUGGAUCCGCGCCGCAUUAGCUAGUUGGUAAGGUAACGGCUUACCAAGGCAACGAUGCGUAGCCGACCUGAGAGGGUGAUCGGCCACACUGGAACUGAGACACGGUCCAGACUCCUACGGGAGGCAGCAGUAGGGAAUCUUCCGCAAUGGGCGAAAGCUUGACGGAGCAACGCCGCGUGAGUGAUGAAGGUCUUCGGAUCGUAAAACUCUGUUAUUAGGGAAGAACAAAUGUGUAAGUAACUAUGCACGUCUUGACGGUACCCAAUCAGAAAGCCACGGCUAACUACGUG